AUGAGCAGCUGGAGCAGAAGGGCAAUGUCGAGCUCGGCAUACAGUCAAUAUCAUGCAAUCGGGGAUGUCAGCAAGGGAGACGUUGUUUCAUAUGGGCAGCACAACAGCCACAACGGUGUUGCCGUUCUCCACCAUGACUCUGUUCUGUUCCUCACGUGUACAUCGCUAGCACAUGGACGAUGUUUGGCUGCAACCCCUACUAUGGCUAGCAUAAGAGAAUAUCCAGAAACAAUCAAUCACACAAAUAAGAUGAGAGUGUAUCAGGCAUGUCCUCUUGAUUGCACAUUGGCGUCUGCCUGCAGAAGCUGCUUUUGCGCUGACGGGAUUGGGGUCGUGAUGGUACCUUCAAUUUGGAAUCUUGUUGUAGCAGGAGAGCGGAGCAGUUUGGAGAAAUUCAUGGUUAUUUACCGUUUCGAGUUAGAUUUAUUCCAUUUGAAAUGA
rnacentral:rRNA from 1 species